GACGGAAGGUGCAAGCGUUGCUCGGAAUCACUGGGCGUAAAGGGUGCGUAGGCGGCUUGGUAAGUUGGGUGUGAAAGCCCCGGGCUCAGCCCGGGAAGGGCACUCGAAACUGCCGAGCUGGAGUGCCGGAGGGGAGAGUGGAAUUCCUGGUGUAGCGGUGAAAUGCGUAGAUAUCAGGAGGAAUACCGGUGGCGAAAGCGACUCUCCGGACGGCAACUGACGCUGAGGCACGAAAGCGUGGGGAGCAAACAGG
rnacentral:rRNA from 1 species